UACGUAGGUGGCGAGCGUUGUCCGGAUUUAUUGGGCGUAAAGAGCCCGCAGGCGGUUUUGUUAAGUUUCAGGUGAAAUACUCCCUGGCUCAACUGGGAGGGUCCUGGAAAACUGGCAGACUUGAGGCAGGGAGAGGGAUGUGGAAUUCCCGGUGUAGUGGUGAAAUGCGUAGAUAUCGGGAGGAACACCAGUGGCGAAGGCGGCAUCCUGG
rnacentral:rRNA from 1 species